GAUGAACGCUGGCGGCGUGCUUAACACAUGCAAGUCGAACGGAAAGGCUCCUGCUUGCAGGGGUACUCGAGUGGCGAACGGGUGAGUAACACGUGGGUGAUCUGCCCUGCACUUCGGGAUAAGCCUGGGAAACUGGGUCUAAUACCGGAUAGGACGAUGGUUUGGAUGCCAUUGUGGAAAGUUUUUCGGUGUGGGAUGAGCUCGUGGCCUAUCAGCUUGUUGGUGGGGUAAUGGCCUACCAAGGCGUCGACGGGUAGCCGGCCUGAGAGGGUGUACGGCCACAUUGGGACUGAGAUACGGCCCAGACUCCUACGGGGGGCAGCAGUGGGGAAUAUUGCACAAUGGGCGCAAGCCUGAUGCAGCGACGCCGCGUGGGGGAUGACGGCCUUCGGGUUGUAAACUCCUUUCGCUAGGGACGAAGCGCAAGUGACGGUACCUGGAGAAGAAGCACCGGCUAACUACGUG
rnacentral:rRNA from 1 species